CCUACGGGAGACAGCAGUGAGGAAUAUUGGUCAAUGGACGAGAGUCUGAACCAGCCAAGUAGCGUGAAGGAUGACUGCCCUAUGAGUUGUAAACUUCUUUUAUAGAGGAAUAAAACGAGGCACGUGUGCGUUUUUGCAUGUACUUUAUGAAUAAGGAUCGGCUAACUCCGUGCCAGCAGCCGCGGUAAUACGGAGGAUCCGAGCGUUAUCCGGAUUUAUUGGGUUUAAAGGGAGCGUAGGUGGGUUGUUAAGUCAGUUGUGAAAGUUUGCGGCUCAACCGUAAAAUUGCAAUUGAUACUGGCAGUCGUGAGUACAGUAGAGGUGGGCGGAAUUCGUGGUGUAGCGGUGAAAUGCUUAGAUAUCACGAAGAACCCCGAUUGCGAAGGCAGCUUACUAGACUGUAACUGACAUUGAUGCUCGAAAGUGUGGGUAUCAAACAGGAUUAGAUACCCUAGUAGUC
rnacentral:rRNA from 1 species